GGGGGCUGGGGGGUGCGUCGACAUGGUCGGGACAUAGAAGGGGGUGCGCGGCUAAAUAAGUUUGGGAACCACUGCUCUAUUGGAUGCUCCUAUAGAGAAACCUUGCAUAUACAAGCGCGGGUACGCACACAGGUGCUCACAUGGUGCUCUCAUAAGUAUGGACUUGGGCACGUUCAACACAUGUCUUAAGGCUGUGGUUGGCACUUAAUGCACUGUGAUUUGUUAUCGUGAUUGUUCAGUAAAACAAUGUUUUUAUAUUUCCUCAUCAGGGUGACGCAGUGAUAGCUUGCUCCUGUUGUAUUGCUGUGUGUCCCUUUUCUUUUUCUUUUCUCUCCUUCUGCAGGUCUAGAAGCAGACUCUGUUCAUCAUUGAUUGUUUGUUUUAGUGGAACCGCUCCCCCCCCCCCCCCCUCCUUUUGUCUCUUCCUUUCUCUUUCACCUCUGUCUGCGUGUCUGGUUGGAAUUACAGGCAUUCAAAAAACAAUAACGAUAAAGUUUUAAGUAUCGGGCGUGACAAUAAAAGCAGAAACUUUGAUGCUCCACCUGAGAGUAAAUCUGUAAGGCUUGUCAUCAGCAUUCAGACAUUAAUUCUGUUUGCUUCACAGCCAGACAGGACAUGGUAAAAAAAAAAUUUAAAAAGCUUGCUUACGCACAAAACGGGGUCUGAAUACUGUGUAAGCAACUUUCCACGCAAACUUUGGGAUUUAUGAAAGAAAACUUAGCGGGAAAAUGUGCGCAACUUUAAGUUGACUAAGGACCUGGCUUACACACAUUUUGGACAUGGAGAGCACCUGCAGUGCUGCUGCUGAGAAGGAUAAAAUUAUGAAAUCCUGUGGUUGUGCUGGGGUUGGCUUUUUGUUAGCCCCAAGACUUUCUGCCAGAUUACUAAUCUGGGUUUUUGUCUUUAUUCACCUGGAGUCUAGCUGAGCAAUAACAUCCAUUCUAACCUUCUUGUUGCCAAAGAUGAUAACUUCAGCAUUGUCUUUGUGUAGUUGAAGGAAGUUUGACUGCAUCCAUUUGUUUACUUGUUCUAGGCACUGACAGAGUGAGUCCAGUGGCCGAUGGUCACUAGGUGAUUGGGCUAGGUAGAUCUGGUUGUCAUCAGCAUAGCUAUGAUAGGUGAUGUUGUUAUUAUGACCUGACCUAGGGGGACCAUGUAGAGAUUAAAGAGUGUUCCUACAAUUUAGCCUUGGGGGACCUCACAUGUCAUGGUGAUCUGCUUUGAUUUGUAGUUUCUAAUAGAGACAUCAUAGCCCCUGUCUUAUUAUACAACUGUUAUAUGUGUGAAUAUAAGGUUACAAAGGUUGGUCAUUCACAUCACGUGUUUCUGCGUUUCCUACAGUUGUCCAAAAGAUGGCGCUGGUUAAAGAAGAAGAUCCUGAAGACCAGAGUGUUGAUGUAGACCAGCAGAACCCAGAGCACCUCCACAUAAAGGAGGAAGAGGAGGAACUCUGGACCAGUUUGGAGAGAGAGCAGCUCCAUUCGAAGGAGACUGAUGCCGUCAGAUUUCCAUUCUCUGCAGUUUCUAUAAAGAGUGAGGAUGAUGCAGGGAAACCUGUGUUAUCACAGCUUCAUCAGCAAAUAGAAGACAGAGAUGUUCCAACCAGCAGCUCAGCUGACCAGAUGGCAGCAGGAACAGGUGGAGAAGCAGAAAAUAGUAGAAAUUUAGAUCUAAACCCUCAUGAACAGACAUCUGACUCUGAGCUGUCAGACUUCUGGCCUGAAACUGGAGAAAGAGACAAUGACUCAAUCUUUAGCUGCCCAGAGUGUGGUAAACAAUUUGUCCAAAAGUGGUCUCUCCAGAUACAUUUGAGGGUGAUGGGUCAUUCAGAAAUAAGUUCUUCAGAUGGUUUUGUUAAUAAGAAAUUUGAUAGUGUGAAGCAACUCGUAGACUCAUGCAGGAAACUGAAAUCAUAUAGGUGUGAUUACUGUGGAAAACGAUUUGUUUCAAAAUCACAUUUAGAGAGUCAUGAGAUUUUCCACACAGAACAAAAACCUUUUGUUUGUGAACUCUGUGGACAAAGAUUUACUAAAAAGCGGAGUUUAAACAAACACCUGAGAUCCCACUCAGGACAGAAACCUUUUGCUUGUGAGCUCUGUGAACAAAGAUUUGGUGAGAAGGCAUAUUUAACCCGUCACAUGAACGUCCACACAGAACAUAAACCCUUUGCUUGUGAGCACUGUGGACAAAGAUUUAGCAGAAAAGAAUAUUUAACCCGUCACAUGAGUGUCCACACAGGACAGAAGCUUUAUGUUUGUGACCACUGUGGAAAAAGGUUUUACAAAAGAGCCCACUUAAAGACUCACGUCAGCAUCCACACAGGACAGAAGCCUUUUGCUUGUGAGCUUUGUGGAAAGAGAUUUAGUCAAAAGUUCAAUUUAAACAAACACAUGAGUCUCCAUAAAACACAAAAAAAUUAAUUUAACAAGAGUAUCUAAAGGACCCUUGUAGUCUUUACAUCCAAGAUGUCAGUUUUGUACUCCUGGUGGCAAUCCUCUACCCUAGAUCAGAGCUACAUUAGGUCCAUAAGCCACCUCUUUCUGGCCAGAGAGCCACAUAUUUCAAACUAUGUCCAAUGCUUAACGGGACAGAUUACGAUAAGCUCGUCCAUGCUUUUGUCUCUUCUUGAAUAAAAACUACAAUGCAAUCCACAUUGGGAUCCCUGAAAAAAAGCAUUCAGAGACUACAUUAUAUCAGAACUGUGCUACUAGGAUCCUGAUGAGGGUGUGUGUGUGUGUGUGUGAGACAAAUAAAUAAAUUAAUAUAAGGAGCUUUAUUAAAUUGGCUGGUAUUUUCUUUUUUAAUGACACAAUUUAGAUCUGCCAGUGUAGGGAUGGCAAGCUGGGCGGUGUAAAGGUUUAAUUAAUGAACCAUAAGACAUGAGACUCCAUAGUAAAUAUGAAUUCAAUCUUGUGGUUCUUUGGGUAAUUUUAACCAGAAGAUUGGAACUUUUUAUUGCAGUGAUUUUGUAACACUUCGUAUUAACUGAGAGACAAGAGAAGAGGGUCACUCUUAAAACGUUUAAGAAGACGUAUUUCUAAACAAUAUUAAACGAGACUAACUCUAAAUUCUAAGUGAAUGGAUGGAUCUUGGUGUGAAUGAGACGUGAGAUGAAUGGUGUAUGUGUGAGUGAUGUUUGUCAUCAGAACUCUCGUAUCCGGAGAAGCAAGUCUGAAUGAUGUUGUGACGUUUUGCUUUUAAGCUAUGAUCGGAGUUUCAUAAACACAUAAGACUCCAUAUUUGUCCCUCUACACAUACCCUUCAGGAUGAGACCUCCAUACAGAUCCAGACUGCAAGGUCCUUGAACCCCCCUUUCGAUACCGGAGUCAAUGAAACAGUGUCAGCAGUACGACAGACUAGUCUUUGGAUUGUCUCCAGGUAAAAAGCGACAGGUGGUUGACAGCGUCAGAUGGACCCCCUUGGGGUCAGUGAGUCCAGCUUUUAUUCUGAAAGGAACCGUUGCUUGGUUGGUAAAAUGAAAUAGAUUUUAUCCAGCUUGUUGGUUCUUUGCUUAAAAAGGAACUCCAGGUGGCCGGUCCAAUACUUCACUUAGAAUGCGGUGAACUGCAGAGAACUGAACUAAGAUGGCGUGGGACUGGUUUUAUUAAUCUGGAUGUUUUGAUUUCUGGUCGAAUCAAAGUUGGCAGAUUUAUAAACAGCACAGAGACUAUGCCACGCUUCAGAAAGGAAGGUUCUGAUUGGAUGAGUAAACAAUGUGUCAUGCGUUUACAUUACGUGUAGUCAGCAUGUCUAGUGCAGCUAGAUUAAAGUCAUAUUACUUAUUAAAGCAUAUUAAUCAUAGCAUUGUCAUUUCACAGAUUGGUCAGCAUUAUAUUAUUGACUAACACUUUGUUUGAUUAGCUUUAUUAAAGAUAGAGUUCUUUGAUUUAUUAAAAGGAAAGAGUCCUUUGUCUUCAUUCUUCUCUUGAGCUGGAAAGAAAGCAGUUUAGAAGCAAAUGCCUGACCUUGAGGCAGUCUCAUGCAGAUUAGUUCUGUGUCAGAGGCAUCUGUGGAGAGAGGGUAAAUAACCUUCGGUGGAAUAGCACCUUCAUCACGUUACAGCGGGAUGUGCUCUGCCGUCCUGGUACCAGUCAGUAAACAAGAAGGACCUGGGUGCAACACGCAGAAACAGAUAGCGUCAGGCCAGGUGUCAGACUCCUCCCUUAUUUGGAAAUGAUGCAAUAGCAUUCCGGAACUGAAGGGGGUGCUAUAACUAAUAUCACCUAAAACACAAGAUUGUGGAGGACGGAGAGGUUCGUUGAUUAAACCCUAACCCAACACUUGCCAUUAUUAUUUAUUCAAGCCUUUAUUGGUAAACUGUUUAAGAUGUGGCAGAGUGGCUGAAUUGCUCCACCUACUGCCACCUCCCCUUUAUUAUGGAGCCAGCCAAUCAGGGCCCUGGUGGCUUCCUUUAAAUGGCUUACCUGGUCAGGUGUGUUUAGACUUUUGAUUGCUUUCACUUCAUUAGGCUUUUUGUUGCUACCCCCUCCCUUCCACAAGCUGAGGGGGGUGGCGGAGCUUGGGGCUUCUCCGUCUGUCCCAAGCAGUGCAUAAGGAAGGGCCUAACUGAGAAGCAGCCAGUUUGGGACGGCGCACAUGGAUCCAUUGGUGGAGGCGCAUAGUGAGCCAAAGGAAACACUGUGGCAGGCUAGGAAGGUGCUGGAACAUCUGUUGGACAGAGAGCUGUCAGUGUUGAUCUGCUGGAGUUAUGGGACCAGAAGGAGCUCUGUUGAGGCCACAACCCAAACAGCUGAGUGGUUUGGCAGGCAGGCCUUUGAGUGGGCCAUCAAUUCUUGGUACUAGGGUGGAUGAACCACAUUCCUCCACUCUCAGGACUGCCUCCACAACAGCCAAAAGGACUGUAUUUAAUGCCUCUCUUUUAAUCUGUGUAGUUAUAACUGUCUUAUCCUUUCAUUCCCAUUUGGAGACUGCCGGUGGUCGGUGCUUUUCUCCUCCCCCGGUGUGGCGUGAGAAAUCUUUAUAUUUUGGAGUAUAAAUCCAGGCUUUGUUGUGUAGCAAAUUAUAUUUAUCUUUAAUUUUAACAUAGAACAGACUAUUAACAAUUGUAAACUCGUAACAGCCAUAGUUCAUAUAUGGUCUGACAACUGGCCCGACGCCAUAAACUCCUCCCUGACAAGUAAAACAUAAUCCACUGGAGUGCCAAGCCAGUAAUUCCUCUAAGCCCCGCCCUUUCACUCCAGUGACAGAUGUGCUUUACCACCUCCAGACCGGUAGGUGGCGGAAAUGAUCACCAACCGCCACAAAGCAGAUAGGAGAAGCUCCUCCAGAAGCUCGCAGACUGUAGCAGCAGAAGCUGCAAACCAUCACCAGGCUGUGAAAACCUCAACAACUUGGUGGAGAUCUGUCCAGAACCAGGGAAGAUAUUCUGCAGUCUUCGUGACAAUCGGAGCUCCAGAAUCAGUUUCUGGGUCAGAGAAGCUUUUCUCUAGACUUCCUGACCUCUGGAUCUGCUGCAGAUUGAAGAGGUUCCCUCUAUCAGACUCGGUCAUCUGAGUUGGUCAUGAUGCCGGUCAGGAUCGCUGCUCACUCUCUGAUCCAUCCUGCUCACACUCUCCGACGGAAAAGCCUCAGAACGUCGUCAGCUGCUUUGUUUCUGUUGCAGCUGUUAGCUAAACACGGCUAAAUCAGACCUGCUACCACUUGAGGAUCUGGGACUGAUUCAUCAUCUGGAUCUGGACAACAUGGAUACAGUUGUCCAAAAGAUGGUGCUGGUUAAAGAAGAAGAUCCUGAAGACCAGAGUGUUGAUGUAGACCAGCAGAACCCAGAGCACCUCCACAUAAAGGAGGAAGAGGAGGAACUCUGGACCAGUUUGGAGAGAGAGCAGCUCCAUUCGAAGGAGACUGAUGCCGUCAGAUUUCCAUUCUCUGCAGUUUCUAUAAAGAGUGAGGAUGAUGCAGGGAAACCUCUAUCACAGUUUCAUCAGCAAAUAGAAGACAGAGAUGUUCCAACCAGCAGUUCAGCUGACCAGAUGGCAGCAGGAACAGGUGGAGAAGCAGAAAAUAGCAGAAAUUCAGAUCUAAACCCUCAUGAACAGACAUCUGACUCUGAGCUGUCAGACUUCUGGCCUGAAACUGGAGAAAGAGAAAAUGACUCAAUCUUUAGCUGCCCAGAGUGUGGUAAAACAUUUGUCCAAAAGUGGUCUCUCCAGAUACAUUUGAGGGUGAUGGGUCAUUCAGAAAUAAGUUCUUCAGAUGGUUUGGUUAAUAAGAAAUUUGAUGAAGUGGAGCAACCCGUAGACUCACGCAGGAAACUGGAAUCAUAUAGUUGUGAUUACUGUGGAAAACGAUUUGUUUCAAAAUCACAUUUAGAGAGUCAUGAGAUUGUCCACUUACAACAAAAACCUUUUGUUUGUGAACUCUGUGGACAAGGAUUUGGUCAAAAACCAAGUUUAAACAAACACCUGAGAUCCCACUCAGGACAGAAACCUUUUGCUUGUGAGCUCUGUGGUCAAAGAUUUGGUGAGAAGGCAUAUUUAACCCGUCACAUGAACGUCCACACAGAACAUAAACCUUUUGCUUGUGAGCACUGUGGACAAAAAUUUAGCAGAAAAGAAUAUUUAACCCGUCACAUGAGUGUCCACACAGGACAGAAGCUUUAUGUUUGUGACCACUGUGGAAAAAGGUUUUACAAAAGAGCCCACUUAAAGACUCACGUCAGCAUCCACACAGGACAGAAGCCUUUUGCUUGUGAGCUUUGUGGAAAGAGAUUUAGUCAAAAGUUCAAUUUAAACAAACACAUGAGAGUCUCCAUAAAACACACAAAAAAUAAUUUAACGAGUAUCUAAAGGACCCUUGUAGUCUUUACAUCCAAGAUGUCAGUUUUGUACUCCUGGUGGCAGUCCUCUACCCUAGAUCAGAGCUACAUUAGAUCCAUAAGCCACCUCUUUCUGGCCAGAGAGCCACAUAUUUCAAACUAUGUCCAAUGCUUAACGGGACAGAUUACGAUAAGCUCGUCCACGCUUUUGUCUCUUCUUGAAUAAAAACUACAAUGCGAUCCACAUUGGGAUCCCUGAAAAAAAGCAUUCAGAGACUACAUUAUAUCAGAACUGUGCUACUAGGAUCCUGAUGAGGGUGUGCACAUAUGAGCAUAUCACCCCCAUUCUGAAAAAUCUUCAUUGGAUCCCAGUUUCAUUCAGAAUUGAAUACUAAGUUUCUCUAAUCUCUUAUCGGUGCAUUCAUGCUCCCUCUUAUUUAAAGGAACUCCUCACCUUCGUAUUCUCCGGUCUGCAACAACAACUACACCCUAAAUCCCCAGAACCAAGCUCUGCUGCAUGGGAGAUUGGGCCUUUUCACCCGCUGCUCCAAUGCUUUGGAACGGCCUACCCAUCCACCUGAGAGCCCCACAAACUGUAGAUGCUUUUAAAUGAAAUGUUUAAGCUUGGGGCUCAGAAGCGCCGCGGUUUUGGGUAGUCAAAUGGUCACACAGGAAUCACUACGCCGCUUAACGCUUCUUGGAAAGUAGCCCGAUAGUCACAUUACGCGGGAUUUGAGAACAUGAAGCGGAAAGUGACUUUUUUGUUGUAAAGGAAUCAGAUUUGCUGUCGUGUUUUGUGAGACUAAUUCGCGUUUUAUUUGUUACGUUUGUUUUUUGAGAGGUUUUUGUUUGGCAUUAUUUUUAUAAUGCCCUCCAUCUGUUUACUUGUUUGCUUGUUUUUAGAACCUUUUUUAUGAAAGUUAAACCCACUAUCAUGUUUCUUAUGUUACCCCCUGCUUCACAUUUAACAACACAUGUCGGGGUCGUAACACGGAAUUUGGGAUUUUCAUUAAUUGUUUGAGUCAUCAAAAAUUAAAGAAGUAAAUAUUUGAAAUA